rnacentral:rRNA from 1 species
GACGAACGCUGGCGGCGUGCUUAACACAUGCAAGUCGAACGAUGACGACCGAGCUUGCUCGGUCUGAUUAGUGGCGAACGGGUGAGUAACACGUGAGCAACCUGCCCUUCACUCUGGGAUAACCUCGGGAAAUCGGGGCUAAUACCGGAUAUGAGCUCCUGUCGCAUGGCGGGUGUUGGAAAGUUUUUCGGUGAAGGAUGGGCUCGCGGCCUAUCAGUUUGUUGGUGAGGUAGUGGCUCACCAAGGCGAUGACGGGUAGCCGGCCUGAGAGGGCGACCGGCCACACUGGGACUGAGACACGGCCCAGACUCCUACGGGAGGCAGCAGUGGGGAAUAUUGCACAAUGGGCGAAAGCCUGAUGCAGCGACGCCGCGUGAGGGAUGACGGCCUUCGGGUUGUAAACCUCUUUCAGCAGGGAAGAAGCGAAAGUGACGGUACCGGCAGAAGAAGCGCCGGCUAACUACGU